GAUGAAGGAAGACAGCUCCUGUGUGGACUCAGAAGACGCAACUGUCUUUAUCUGCAGAAGAAUGGAAUAAGUGAAAGAAAGUUAUUAAAAACCACUGAGCCAUUGACGGAAGUGACGCACUCUUCGCGCAUGCGUGGAACUACCAAACAUUUAGAAAAAUGCGGCGGCGACUGCUUCUCUACUCCCGAGUGAUGCAAAGUUUUGGGAUUACCUGGUAGUCCAGGGGCCAAAGGUGGACCUGGAGUUCAAAAGGCGAGCCUGGUCCCAGAGGUCAUGCCGGCAUGUCCGGUGACCCUUGACCUUUGGACGAGUCUGGGGUUCCUGGUAUGGAGAGUCUGGGGUUCCUGGUAUGGAAGGAGUUCCUGGUCCCAAGGGAAGCAAAGGAGAGAGAGGACCGAUGGGCGUUCCAGGUGCUCAAGGUCUGAGUGGAACCUAAGGAGUCAAGGUGUCCCCCAGGGUUCGGUGCUUGGUCCACUUCUCCAUCCUGCACAUGCUCCCCCUCGGUAGCAUAAUCCGCUGCCAUCACCUCCAAUUCCACUGCUACGCAGAAGAUGUCCAGCUACACAUCUCCACAAAAUCUCUCCACCCUGACCGACUGCCUCACUGAAAUCAAAUCAUGGCUGCACUCCAACUUCCUCAAACUCAACUGACAAGUCUGACAUGCUCAUCGUGGGCCCCAAAUCCCUCACCAAAAUUGCUCACAACUCCAAAUCCCUCACCAAAAUUGCUCACAACUCCAAAUCCCUCACCAAAAUUGCUCACAACUCCACUCUGUCCCCAUCCACUCACAUCCUUAACCCUGGAGUCAUUCUGGACAAUAACCUCUCUUUUCAACACCAUGUCAACCACAUCACAAGAACUGCUUGCUUUCUUCCACCUCCAAAAUAUUGCCCGUCUCCGUCCAUCCCUCUCCUUCUCUGCCGCUGAAACCCUGACUGAUCCAUGCCUUCAUCACCUCCAGACUUGACUACUGUAACAGCAUCCUCUACGGCUCAUCUUGCAAAAUUCUCAAAACUCCAAUACAUUCAAAACUCUGCUCACCCACACCCGCUCCCGUGAGCACAUCACCCCAGUCCUCCAGAAACUCCACUGGCUCCCCAUUCCUCACCGGAUCCACUUUAAAAUCCUCCUCCUCACCCACAAAGCCCUCCACAACCAGACCCCCUGCUACCUCACCAACCUGCUUCACCUCCAUACCCCUUCACGCAGCCUACGCUCCUCUCCCCACCACUCAGAACCAAGCUUCGGACCUGGGGUGACAGGUUUCUCCAUCGCUGCUCCCACCCUCUGGAACACUCUUCCCAAACCCAUCCGUGACCAGUGUUGGGUUAGUUACUGAAAACCAGUAACUAGUUAUAGUUACUAGUUACUUACACCAAAAAGUAGUUCUAUUUUUCUUUUUUUUUAAUGCUCCCAUUAAUGCCCUU